GUUAUUUCAAGGGCUGCUUACUACACAGUGUUUAGAUCCAUUCCUAUCCUCUGACCUAUUUCUCCUGCCAACUGGUGCUUAAUUGGUUUUUAAACAAGUGUCUUAAAGCAUUGAUAUAGUUUGGCUCUGCGCCCUUGCCCGAAUCUCGUGUUGAACUGUAAUCCUCAUUGUUAGGGGAGGGGCCUGGUGGGAGGUGAUUGGAUCAUGAGGGCAGACUUCCCUCUUGCUGUUCUCCAGAUGGUGAGUGAGUUCUCAGGAGAACUGAUUGUUUAAAAGUGUGUAGCACCUCCCCGUUAGCUCUCUUCCUCCAGCUCCAGCCAUGUAAGACAAGCCUUCCUCUUCACCUCCUACCAUAAUUGUAGGAUUCCUGAGGCCUCCCCAGCCAUGCUUCCUGUAUAACCUGCAGAACUACAGUCUCACUCUGUUGCCCACGCUGGAGUGCAAUGGUGUGUUCUCGGCUCACCACAACCUCCGACUCCCUGGUUCAAGUAAUUCUACUGCCUCAGCCUCACAAGUAGCUGGGAUUGCUGGUGUGCACCACCAUGCCCAGCUAAUUUUUGUAUUUUUAAGUAGAGACUGGGUUUCACCAUGUUGGUCAGGCUAGUCUGGAACCCCUGACCUUGUGAUCCAUCUGCCUCAGCCUCCCAAAGUGCUAGGAUUACAGGCAUGAGGCACUGCGCCUAGCCCCAAAAUAUUUUUUAGCCUUCUCUUCUAUCUACAUAAACUAGGCUGCUCCCACAGAGUACUGCUAAUGAUUUCUCCCAAACUAUUAUAAACUCUAUAUAUUUGUCCACAGAAUCUUCCUUUUCAUAUCAUUUGAAAUUCAAAUCCAGCUCAGAUAUCACUUCUGUGAAAUCCCACUCCAAAUCUCAAAGAUAAAAUAAGUUAUGUCUUCUAUGUUCAAACCAAAUGUGAGUUUGGAUUUUACCAUAGGGAACAUCCGAUCAAAUGGACCAUACCGUGAGAUACCUAGUUUGUCUCCUCUGGAGAGUGUUUGGAUAGUCGUCUUCAUUCUUCUGUAAGAAUAUCCUAUGUUGUCAGAUGACUAGUUGACAAAGACUCACUUUUUUUAAGUUAAGGGUCCAUAUUUUAUAAAUAUAUGAUUUAUUAGAUUUUACAACAUUGUUCUCUUACCUUUUCAACUCAUAGUACCAAAACUGCUCCAAACUAAACCAUAACAGAUUAUUUUGGUUUUUAUAUUUACCAGGAAUAGAGUCUAAUUCCGUUAUCUGAAGUUACUUUGUAGUGCUCAUAGUUAUUAAUGCCCACCAUUUUUUUUCAAUUAAGCCGCUAUCAAUUAGAUAAUUUGUUUGCUAGAAAAAAAAUGGGCCCCACUAUGUGCAAUGCAAUAUAAUAAUAACUGGAUAUACUAAUAUAAUAUUUUAAAAUAUUUUUAUUUAUCAAAAUUAAACUGAAAGAAUAAAUAUCACUCAGGAAGUUGCA
rnacentral:lncRNA from 13 species